ACGGGUGAGUAAUGCCUAGGAAUCUGCCUGGUAGUGGGGGAUAACGCUCGGAAACGGACGCUAAUACCGCAUACGUCCUACGGGAGAAAGCAGGGGACCUUCGGGCCUUGCGCUAUCAGAUGAGCCUAGGUCGGAUUAGCUAGUUGGUGAGGUAAUGGCUCACCAAGGCGACGAUCCGUAACUGGUCUGAGAGGAUGAUCAGUCACACUGGAACUGAGACACGGUCCAGACUCCUACGGGAGGCAGCAGUGGGGAAUAUUGGACAAUGGGCGAAAGCCUGAUCCAGCCAUGCCGCGUGUGUGAAGAAGGUCUUCGGAUUGUAAAGCACUUUAAGUUGGGAGGAAGGGCAUUAACCUAAUACGUUAGUGUUUUGACGUUACCGACAGAAUAAGCACCGGCUAACUCUGUGCCAGCAGCCGCGGUAAUACAGAGGGUGCAAGCGUUAAUCGGAAUUACUGGGCGUAAAGCGCGCGUAGGUGGUUCGUUAAGUUGGAUGUGAAAGCCCCGGGCUCAACCUGGGAACUGCAUUCAAAACUGUCGAGCUAGAGUAUGGUAGAGGGUGGUGGAAUUUCCUGUGUAGCGGU
rnacentral:rRNA from 1 species